UUUUCAUUCCCUCUCUAAAUUUUGCCAUCUUCCACACUCUUCUUUGCCCCCAAAAAUUUUAUCCCUAAAAUUAUUCAUUCCCUCCCUUUUUUAUGUAUGUUUAAUUGGCCCAAACCUAAAUGAAACUUUUCAAUUGAUGCAAAUUUCGGCUUCAUCUUCAAUUCGAUUUCCGUGGAUUUUGGCUUCAGCUACAGAUUGAGUUCUGUGAAUUUUGGCUUCAUCUACAAAUCUAUUUUUAUGAUAUUUUCUUCCAGGUAUGCCCAUUCCAAGAUUAUAUAUAUACUUUCUGCAAUUUCACUCAUCAUCUUCAGAAAUAUCGGUUUAGGAAUCAAGUUCAA
rnacentral:lncRNA from 1 species